UUGUACAGUGCAAACAAAAGUGAUUUUCUUUUCGAUGCAAUUUGUGUCAACAGCAAUUCGUGGAAAAAACCAGUAUCGCUACGAUUACACGGAUUAACAAUUUUAGCAGUUAAACGAUCUGCAAACGAUCAUUUAUAAGAAGGGUACGUUUUUCCCACAAAAUUAACCGGAUACAACAGUUGGUUAUGCUACACAACGAGUCAGGUGGUUCGACUAUACAACAAACACUUGUUAUACGUAACGGCCAAAGUCCCCGGUCAUUUUUGUACUCACAUUAGACAUGGUGCUUCAUCAACCAAAAGUUCGUCGAGUUCAUCGACCCAUUGCUGUUGAUUUAAUCCACGUCGAAAGAUGAAUAUUUCAAAUGUCAAACUUCAUGAUAGCGGUGUCAGAUUUGACGUAUUCGGUGUUGCCGUAUCUCGAAACUUCACUAACAACCCUCGUAUAAAAAUUAUUUCGAACGUCUAUAAAUUGAAUAUUUGCAUACAUUGUUAGUACAUAAGCUUUAAAUUAACCAUAAAACCCCAUGCUACAAAUUAUGUUUUGAAUUAAAAACUGGUUUCAUAUCA